GUGUCAGCCGCCGCGGUAAGACGAACCGUGCAAACGUUGUUCGGAAUCACUGGGCUUAAAGGGCGCGUAGGCGGCUUGCAUAGUCGGUGGUGAAAUCCUGCAGCUUAACUGUAGAAGUGCCUCCGAUACUAGCAAGCUCGAGGGAGGUAGGGGUCUGCGGAACUUCUGGUGGAGCGGUGAAAUGCGUUGAUAUCAGAAGGAACGCCGGUGGCGAAAGCGGCGGACUGGACCUCUUCUGACGCUGAGGCGCGAAAGCUAGGGGAGCAAACGGGAUUAGAUACCCCUGUAGUCC
rnacentral:rRNA from 1 species